UUCUCACUAAAAAAGAAAUCAUCUCACAAGAACAAGGAAUACUGUCUAUCAAGGAAAAGAAUCAUGAAGACUCUACUCUCACUCUUCUGUCUGGUUACUUACCUGACCUGUGCUCUGAGUCAGCACCCAGUCUCUCUUGACAUGGCUUGUAAUAAAGCUCUUUCUGCAGUUGCUUGCUCUUUUGA